GCAGCCGCCACGGGAAUACGGAGGGUGCAAGCGUUAUCCGGAUUUAUUGGGUUUAAAGGGUCCGUAGGCGGACUUAUAAGUCAGUGGUGAAAGCCUGUCGCUUAACGAUAGAACUGCCAUUGAUACUGUAAGUCUUGAGUAUAUUUGAGGUAGCUGGAAUAAGUAGUGUAGCGGUGAAAUGCAUAGAUAUUACUUAGAACACCAAUUGCGAAGGCAGGUUACCAAGAUAUAACUGACGCUGAGGGACGAAAGCGUGGGUAGCGAACAGGAUUAGAUACCCCUGUAGUCCCUGUCUCUUAUAU
rnacentral:rRNA from 1 species